GACGAACGCUGGCGGCGUGCUUAACACAUGCAAGUCGAACGAUGAACCACUUCGGUGGGGAUUAGUGGCGAACGGGUGAGUAACACGUGGGCAAUCUGCCCUGCACUCUGGGACAAGCCCUGGAAACGGGGUCUAAUACCGGAUACUGACCCGCUUGGGCAUCCAAGCGGUUCGAAAGCUCCGGCGGUGCAGGAUGAGCCCGCGGCCUAUCAGCUAGUUGGUGAGGUAAUGGCUCACCAAGGCGACGACGGGUAGCCGGCCUGAGAGGGCGACCGGCCACACUGGGACUGAGACACGGCCCAGACUCCUACGGGAGGCAGCAGUGGGGAAUAUUGCACAAUGGGCGAAAGCCUGAUGCAGCGACGCCGCGUGAGGGAUGACGGCCUUCGGGUUGUAAACCUCUUUCAGCAGGGAAGAAGCGAAAGUGACGGUACCUGCAGAAAAAGCGCCGGCUAACUAC
rnacentral:rRNA from 1 species